CAGAGAUCGGCUGUAAUGUUUACCAACAACAGCUGAGCUGGUUCCUGCUCCCGUAGUUGGCCAUGUUAUCUUCAUCAAAUGAAGAUUUAUAUUGGCAAUUUUGAUAUUUGAGUCCAGAAGUCAGAACAACAGCAACAUUUGCAGUUCCAACACUUGCUGGCACUAGAGCUCAUAUGUCAGAAAUACUGCAUACACGAUCAGGUCAUCAGCAGUGUCGUGAAACUCAUUACUGUGUCAGAAAUACUACAUGUGGGAGCAAAAGUGGAAAUCUUCAAGAAUCUUCUGGGAAGAAGUGCCAGACCAACUGGGUUGUAUUGAAUAUGUGGGUUUGUGGGCUGGUCCAAGCAACAGCCUGCUGGACUAAGCUCUUAUAAGUUAAACCUGGCCCCGGGCUGGGCUUGAAGAGUCGAAGUACCCCCCAGAACUUCAUCCAGGUACAGUCUCAGCCAUAAGUCCCUUUCUGUUUUGGAUAUAUACAUGGAUUAGUAACACUGUUGACUGGGUGUCCAUGAACUGUUAUGAAUUCCCUAUUUACAUUACAUCGGAUAUGGACAAAUAUGCUGGGAAUUAUAUUGGAUUAUAAAUAAGUAUUUGAAGUAUAUUUAUGGAGUAAACAUUGUUCCACAAUAUGUCCUGCUCACUAAUAUAUAACAUUAAAUUUAGCUUACCAGGGAACAUAUGGCAAGAAGCUGUUUUUUGUGUAUAAUAGUAAAUGACAUUGUAUUAUGAAUGAAUGAUAAUAAAUGUUUCAAACAUUUUCAUUAGUCAAAGAAUUAUUGCAUUCUAUUUUCUGGUUUAUGCUUUAUUUGCCUUUGUCAUUUGUUUGUUUCAUUAUGCAUGUACAGUAUAUACUGUAUUUGUUUAUAUGCACAUAAAUACACGUUUACACCAUAAAUUACAUUUUCAAAUACCAAAUACAAUACUGGUAUGUUGAUGUUUAAGAUUCAAAAGAUUUGGCAUAUCAAAAGUUUAUGACAAUAUUCACAAUGACGUGAAGGAAAUGUCAUCUGAAACAAGAGCACCCAUUCUAGUGUCUGCCACAUUAUGAAUGUAAGAAAUUGAGAUGAACCAGUAGCUCCAUGAAAUAUUCUAAUUACAUCCAAGCAAGUUAACUUUGCUGUCUCACAUUAUCAGUAAACCUAUUUCCUAUUAAAUUUCCACAUUAAUUUGCUUUAUUGGACUUUUGGUUAGUAAAAUAUAAUCACUUUAGUGUAUUUUGUUUAAUAUUUCAAGAUUAAAUUGUUUGUUACACAUACGUUUAAAUGUGCCCUGUUAAGACUAUGUGAACAUAAUAACAGCCUUGCCGUACGGCACGCGUUCUUCCGUGGUGCCUCCUUGCCAUGGUGAGGGGCUCACGUACACCUCCCUGGGACCGGUGUGGGUUGCCUUUGCCCUCUCUCCUGCCCCCUCUUUGGGUGCUGUACGUGCUGAAGGGCACCACGUAGGGGCCUUGUGAGCUAUCGAACCACCUGCUGGAGGGGUUGCCCGUGAGGGGCCGCCCUGAGUGGAUGGUUGGGUGUCCAGACUGGGGGGAAUGGGGUCUUAGCACCAGUGUGGGAGAAUGGACGAUGUAGUAGGACUUCCCUGUUGAAAAGGAGGAGCACCACUGGGGACGACGCACCCUUCCUACACUGGCCCGCGCUUGGCCUUCCUGGCUGCCCUGGUAGGUGGUAUCCCUUGGUUCCAGGUCCCAAACUUUUGAAAUUGUUUGCUGCAUGGAUGACGACACGACUUCUCUUACCCAGGCUCAUGGGGUGGGCGACCAGGCCCCUGAGUCAGACCGUUCUGGAAGACCGGGCUCUAUAGCCCCCGUUACAGGGGGCUAUAGAGCCCAGAUCUAUAAAUAGAGCCCAGAUAAAUCCAGGGAGGUUUAGGCCCAGAUCGGACUCUUCCUCCCUGCUCCCCUCCCUCCUCUGUGGUUGGGUCGAGCCCCAAGCCUGCUGUGGUGACCGCCUCGUCCCCUUGCACAGCUCCAUCUCUUAUUGUGACUACUGCGCCUUAU
rnacentral:misc_RNA from 1 species